GUGCCCCAACCCAUUUGGCACAGCUUGCCUCCCAUCAGACCCACACUGCACAGUCUGUGCAUGUGCCACAGGGGCGGCAGAGAAGAACAACCUUGCAGCUGCAGCGCUGUUUGCUGCGUUCAUUGGACCUGAGUGGAGACGAGUGACCAAUACACAUAUUACAUAUAUAAAAUGUGUGUGCUUGCAAAAUUAGUAGAUUUAAUCCUGUUAGUAAUUUUAUAAUAACGUAAAAAAAUUGAGAGGAUUACUAAAAAUAAAGGAGGGUUGGCAUCUCUGAUAGAUGUAGAAACAUUUGCAUUUAUACGUUCUCUUUCUCAAUAUUGUCUGUUUUGUUGAUAGGCUACUACCUGUUCUGAAUUGUGCAGGUCUGUCCCAUAUCUUGGAAGAUGCACUUGAAGGACAUUUACAAAUUCUGAAUUUAUUGUGGAUAGGGAAUCACCCAGGAUGAGGUAACCAUCAUGAGGUAAUGCUAUGACACAGUGGAAUUUGUUCCACACGAUAAAUCCCUAAAAAUGGCAAACUUGGAUCCUCAGAAUUCAGAAAUGCUUUUUAGCCCUGAGGACAAUGGCAAGCCUGAUUUGUUUGCUCCAUCAGAAAUGGCCAGCUAACCUGGGACUUCUGAAAAAUGCAAUCCUAGAGUAUUCCACAUGAUCAUCUGGAGAAAAUGUAGGACAUGAUCUUUCACACACUUCCUGCUCCUCAGAGGCCCUGAUCCAGUAAUGAGCCCUGCUUGGGAAGACCUCUGUGCUUGCAUGAAACUCACUGUAGGACUGGGCCAUUGUACACUGCUUUAAGUAGUCCCAUUGACAUCCAAGAGAAUAUUAAUGGUAGUAAGUACUACACCUAGCAUUGCUUCACUGGAUUGUAAGAAACUGUAGACACAGAACUGUCGUUGUAUAAAUAAGACUGGAGGAACGUUGUGGCAUGUUUCUGAGGGAAAUAAUGUAUUUGUCUUGACAAUUUAGAAAAGUAAUUGAAAAAUCCUGAGUGCAGGCUUCAAUGAAGGAAAGAAAGAAAGAAAGAAAAUGGCAGUGGCAACCUGUGUGGAGUCCUUCUACUAUCCUUUUCUCCCAUGCAUAGUUCCUUUCCAUAGUUUUACAGAUAAGUAUGAUUAACUUAGAAACAAUGACCAACAAUUUCAAUGCUGUAAUGAAUGAGGCAACAAUGGACAUGCUUGGGAAACACCGUAAGAAGACAAAAUCUUGGGUCACAAAUGAAACACUACAAAUGUGUGACAUUAGAAGAGAACUCAAGAAAGACAAGAACAGCACUGAGCGAGCUGAUAAAUACUGAGCAAUUGGCAGAAAGAUCAAGAAAGGAAUGAAGGUGGCCAAGGAGAUAUGGAUCAAAAAACAAUCUCUAAAAUUGAAGAGUGUAUCAAUAAUAAAAAUAGCAAACGAGCCUUCCACGUUGUAAAAGAUCUGACAAAGGAAAGAUGGACCAAAGCUAACGCAAUUGAUGACAAGGAAGGGAACAGUCUUACAGAAGAAAGGGACAUCAUCAAUAGGUGGACAAACUACUGCUCUGAUCUAUACAACUACCAGACAAAUGGAGAUCCUAGUGUCCUAGACAGCCCAGAUUCAACAGAGGAGGAGGGUUUUCCAAUACUGCGUGAAGAAGUGGAGACAGAUGUCAGAUCACUCAAGAACGGAAAGGCAACAGGUAUUGACAACAUCCUAGCCAAACUGAUGAAAUUUGGAGGAUAAUUAUUAAUAGAUGUACUCACCAAGAUCUGCAACAAGAUCUGGCAGACUGGUGAGUGGCCCUCCACGUGGACACAGUCACUAAUCAUCACUCUGCCAAAGAAAGGCAACCUGCAAUUGUGUCAAAAUUACCAGACCAUAAGCUUGAUUAGCCAUCCCAGCAAAGUGAUGUUGAAAAUCAUAUUGAACAGAUUGAAGCCACAAGCGGAGAAUAUCAUCACUGAAGAACAGGCUGGCUUUCAUGCUGGAAGAAGUAUCACAGAACAGAUUUUUCAACCUCCGUGUUCUAUGUGAGAAGUACUUACAACACCAGCAGGACAUCUACCACAUCUUUGUUGACUUCAAGAAAGCAUUUGACAGAGUAAGGCAUGAAGCUCUCUGGACAACCAUGAAGAAGUACAAUGUUGGUCAUAAGCUUAUUCUUACCUUUAAACAACUGUAUGCCAAGGCCAGCAGUGCAGUUCUCAUCAAUGACACAAUAGGAGAGUGGUUUCGCACCACUGUUGCAGUCCAGCAAGUCUGCCUUCUUUCGUUUGCACUGUUCAACAUUUAUUUGGAGUGCCUAGUGACUGAUGCCCUAGAAGAUCACAUAUUCACAGUCAGCAUUGGGGGGGCGAACAAUCUCAAAUGUUUGGUUUGCUGAUGACAUUGACGGCUUGGCAGGUAGCAAAGAUGAACUUGCCAACCUUGUGAAAUGAUUGGAUGAAACCUCCGCAAAAUACGGCGUGGAAAUCAGUGCAGAGAAAACCAACCUGAUGACAAACAAACGUGACAGGAUCAGCUCACAUAUCACUGUCAGUGGACGAGAACUGGAGACAGUUCAAGUAUUUGGGGGCAAUCACCACUGAUGAAGGAUCAAAGGCAGAAAUUCUGGCAAGAACUGCGCAAACAACA